rnacentral:tRNA from 1 species
GGGGCUGUAGCUCAGUGGUAGAGCAUUUGCCUAGCACAAGUGAAGUCCUGGUUCAAACUCCAGCACCCCA